UAAUACGGGGGGAGCAAGCGUUGUCCGGAAUUACUGGGCGUAAAGGGCGUGUAGGCGGUUUGGUAAGUCAGAUGUAAAAGGUCCCGGCUUAACCGGGGAUGGUCAUUUGAAACUGCCAGGCUUGAGUUCGAGAGAGGGUAGCGGAAUUCCCAGUGUAGCGGUGAAAUGCGUAGAUAUUGGGAAGAACACCAGUAGCGAAGGCGGCUACCUGGCUCGCAACUGACGCUAAGGCGCGAAAGCGUGGGGAGCAAACAGGAUUAGAUACCCUGGUAGUCCACGCCGUAAACGAUGAGCACUAGGUGUUGGUUGGCCGCAGGCUGAUCAGUGCCGCAGUUAACGCCAUAAGUAUCCCGCCUGGGGACUACGGCCGCAAGGCUA
rnacentral:rRNA from 1 species